rnacentral:rRNA from 1 species
CGGGUGAGUAAUACAUAAGUAACCUGCCCUAGACAGGGGGAUAACUAUUGGAAACGAUAGCUAAGACCGCAUAGGUACGGACACUGCAUGGCGACCGUAUUAAAAGUGCCUCAAAGCACUGGUAGAGGAUGGACUUAUGGCGCAUUAGCUGGUUGGCGGGGUAACGGCCCACCAAGGCGACGAUGCGUAGCCGACCUGAGAGGGUGACCGGCCACACUGGGACUGAGACACGGCCCAGACUCCUACGGGAGGCAGCAUG